rnacentral:lncRNA from 1 species
CCUUGGCGGGCCGCGCACUCUGAGCAGCCGGCCUGCCCUGCAGGCCACGGGCAAUGAGGGGCUUAGCACCCGGGCCAGCGGCUGCGGAGGGUGUACUGGGUCACCCAGCAGUGCCAGCCCACCUGGCGCUGCGCUCAAUUUCUCACUGGGCCUUAGCUGCCUUCCCGCGGGGCAGGACUCGGGACUUGCAGCCCGCCAUGCCUGAGCCUCCCACCCCCUCCAUGGGGCUCCUGGGCGGCCCGAGCCUCCCCGAGGAGCGCCACCCCCUGCUCCACGGCGCCCAGUCCCAUCGACCACCCAAGGGCUGAGGAGUGCGGGCGCAAGGCACCUGGACUGGCAGGCAGCUCCACCUGCAGCCCCGGUCCCCACUGCUUUUAUGAGCUGUAACACUUGCCGCCAAGGUCUGCAGCUUCACUCCUGAAGCCAGCGGGACCACGAGCCCACUGGGAGGAACGAACAACUCCAGAGGCCCUGCUUUAAGAGCUGUAACACUCCCCGCCAAGGUCUGCAGCUUCACUCCUGAGCCAGCGAGACCAUGAACCCACCAGAAGGAAGAAACUCCCAACACAUCCGAGCAUCAGAAGGAACAAACUCCAGACGCGCCACUUAAGAGCUGUAACACUCACUGCGAGGGUCCGUGGCUUCAUUUUUGAAGUCAGUGAGACCAAGAACCCACCAAUUCCGGACACACCGGCACUUUGGGAGGCUGAAGCAGGAGGAUCACGAGGGAAAAGUUUUGCUUGCUGAUGUUACAGUGAUAAGAAAGGAAAGAAAGAAAAAGAGAGAAAGAAAGGAAGGAAGGAAGGGAAAGAAAGAAAGGAAAGAAAGAAAGAAAGAAGA